rnacentral:rRNA from 1 species
CGGCCGCGUCGACGGCGAACGGGUGAGUAACACGUGAGUAACCUGCCCCCUUCUUCGGGAUAACGGUCUGAAAGGGCUGCUAAUACCGGGUAUUCACUGGUCUCCGCAUGGGGGCUGGUGGAAAGGUUGUUUUUCUGGUGGGGGAUGGGCUCGCGGCCUAUCAGCUUGUUGGUGGGGUGAUGGCCCACCAAGGCUUUGACGGGUAGCCGGCCUGAGAGGGUGACCGGUCACAUUGGGACUGAGAUACGGCCCAGACUCCUACGGGAGGCAGCAGUGGGGAAUAUUGCACAAUGGGCGCAAGCCUGAUGCAGCGACGCCGCGUGAGGGAUGGAGGCCUUCGGGUUGUGAACCUCUUUCGCCCGUGGUCAAGCCGCGACGUGGGUCGUGGUGAGGGUAGUGGGUAAAGAAGCGCCGGCUAACUACGUGCCAGCAGCCGCGGUAAUACGUAGGGCGCGAGCGUUGCCCGGAAUUAUUGGGCGUAAAGGGCUUGUAGGCGGCUGGUCGCGUCUGCCGUGAAAUCCUCUGGCUCGAACUGGGGCGUGCGGUGGUACGGGCUGGCUUGG